rnacentral:rRNA from 1 species
GACGAACGCUGGCGGCGUGCUUAACACAUGCAAGUCGAACGGAAAGGCCCUGCUUUUGUGUGGUGCUCGAGUGGCGAACGGGUGAGUAACACGUGAGUAACCUUCCCUUGACUUUGGGAUAACUUCAGGAAACUGGGGCUAAUACCGGAUAGGAGCUCCUGCUGCAUGGGGGGGUUUGGAACGUUUCGGCGGUUGGGGAUGGACUCGCGGCUUAUCAGCUUGUUGGUGGGGUAGUGGCUUACCAAGGCUUUGACGGGUAGCCGGCCUGAGAGGGUGACCGGCCACAUUGGGACUGAGAUACGGCCCAGACUCCUACGGGAGGCAGCAGUGGGGAAUAUUGCACAAUGGGCGGAAGCCUGAUGCAGCAACGCCGCGUGCGGGAUGACGGCCUUCGGGUUGUAAACCGCUUUCGCCUGUGACGAAGCGUGAGUGACGGUAAUGGGUAAAGAAGCACCGGCUAACUACGUG